rnacentral:sRNA from 1 species
GCUGGGUGCUAUGGCGCACACCUCUAAUCCUAGCUAUCUGGGAGGCUGAGGCUGGAGGAUCAUUUGAGCCCAGGAGAGUUCAGCACCAGCCUGAGCAACAUAACAAGACCCCAUCUCAC